rnacentral:rRNA from 1 species
AUUGAACGCUGGCGGCAGGCCUAACACAUGCAAGUCGAACGAGUGGCGGACGGGUGAGUAAUGUCUGGGAAACUGCCUGAUGGAGGGGGAUAACUACUGGAAACGGUAGCUAAUACCGCAUACAAUCAGAUGUGCCCAGAUGGGAUUAGCGUGUUGGUGGGGUAACGGCUCACCAAGGCGACGAUCCCUAGCUGGGCUGAGAGGAUGACCGUCCACACUGGAACUGAGACACGGUCCAGACUCCUACGGGAGGCAGCAGUGGGGACUAUUGCACACUGGGCGCAAGCCUGAUGCAGCCAUGCCGCGUGUAUGAAGAAGGCCUUCGGGUUGUAAAGUACUUUCAGCGGGGAGGCGUUACCCGCAGAAUAAGCACCGGCUAACUCCGUGCCAGCCGCCGCGGUAAUAC